rnacentral:rRNA from 1 species
UUGGAGGGCAAGUCUGGUGCCAGCAGCCGCGGUAAUUCCAGCUCCAAUAGCGUAUAUUAAAGUUGUUGCAGUUAAAAAGCUCGUAGUUGAAUUUCGGGAUCAAUAUAUCGGUCGUGCCUUGGUACGUACUGGUAUCAUUGGUUCCUCCUUUCUGACGAACCAUGAUGUCAUUAAUUUGGUGUUAUGGGAAGUUAGGACUGUUACUUUGAAAAAAUUAGAGUGUUUAAAGCAGGCUUUAGCUUGAAUACAUUAGCAUGGAAUAAUGAAAUAGGACGUUCGAACCUAUUUUGUUGGUUUCUAGGAUCAACGUAAUGAUUAAUAGGGAUAGUUGGGGGCAUUAGUAUUCAAUUGUCAGAGGUGAAAUUCUUGGAUUUAUUGAAGACUAACUACUGCGAAAGCAUUUGCCAAGGAUGUUUUCAUUAAUCAAGAACGAAAGUUAGGGGAUCGAAGACGGUCAGAUACCGUCGUAGUCUUAACCAUAAACUAUGCCGACUAGGGAUCGGAUGAUGUUGAUUUUUUAAUGACUCAUUCGGCGCCUUACGGGAAAC